CCUACGAGUAGCUGCAGUGGGGAAUAUUGCACAAUGGGGGGAACCCUGCUGCAGCGACGCCGCGUGAGUGAAGAAGUAUUUCGGUAUGUAAAGCUCUAUCAGCCGGGAAGAAGAUGACGGUACCUGACUAAGAAGCCACGGCUAACUACGUGCCAGCCGCCGCGGUAAUACGUAGGGGGCAAGCGUUAUCCGGAUUUACUGGGUGUAAAGGGAGCGUAGACGGCAGGGCAAGUCUGGAGUGAAAGCCCGGGGCCCAACCCCGGGACUGCUUUGGAAACUGCCAUGCUAGAGUGCUGGAGAGGUAAGCGGAAGUCCUAGUGUAGCGGUGAAAUGCGUAGAUAUUAGGAGGAACACCAGUGGCGAAGGCGGCUUACUGGACAGUAACUGACGUUGAGGCUCGAAAGCGUGGGGAGCAAACAGGAGUAGAUACCCGGGUAGUC
rnacentral:rRNA from 1 species